GAUCAUGGCUCAGGAUGAACGCUAGCGGCAGGCUUAAUACAUGCAAGUCGUGGGGCAGCAGGUUUGUAGCAAUACAGAUGCUGGCGACCGGCAAACGGGUGCGAAACACGUACAGAACCUUCCUUUGAGCGGGGAAUUGUCCAGAGAAAUUUGGAUUAAUACCCCAUAGUAUAAUGAAGUGGCAUCACUUUAUUAUUAAAGAUUUAUCACUCGAAGAUGGCUGUGCGGCUGAUUAGGUAGUUGGCGGGGUAAAGGCCCACCAAGCCUGCGAUCAGUAACUGGUGUGAGAGCACGACCAGUCACACGGGCACUGAGACACGGGCCCGACUCCUACGGGAGGCAGCAGUAAGGAAUAUUGGUCAAUGGAGGCAACUCUGAACCAGCCAUGCCGCGUGGAGGAUGAAGGUCCUCUGGAUUGUAAACUUCUUUUAUAUGGGACGAAAAAGGCUUUUCUAAGUCGUCUGACGGUACCAUAUGAAUAAGCACCGGCUAACUCCGUG
rnacentral:rRNA from 1 species